AUGUUGGACAAUGGGGGAAACCAUUAUCCAGCCACCUCGCGUGCAUGAUUAACGCCUUCGGGUUGUAACAUACUUUUGGCAGAGAAGUAAAGGUAUCUCCUAAUACGAGAUACUGCUGACGGUAUCUGCAGACUAAGCACGGGCUAACUACGUACGAGCAGCCGCGGUAAUACGUAGGGUGCAAGCGUUAAUCGGAAUUACUGGGCGUAAAGCGUGUGUAGGCGGUGCAGAAAGAAAGAUGUGAAAUCCCAGGGCGCAACCUUAGAACUGCAUUUUUAACUGCCGAGCUAGAGUAUGUCAGAGGGGGGUAGAAUUCCACGUGUAGCAGUGAAAUGCGUAGAUAUGUGGAGGAAUACCGAUGGCGAAGGUAGCCCCCUGAGAUAAUACUGACGCUCAAGCACGAAAGCGUGGGGAGCAAACA
rnacentral:rRNA from 1 species